CCACACCACGUAUUAGAUACUCACUUCCCUGAAAUCCUAAAUCCCAAAAUAUCGAUUCUCCUUCAAUUGUUCUUCGCCGAUUCAUCAUUCUCAAUGACCAGGGUUACGCCGUGAACCCUUGAUGACGACAGAAUUGCAUGCUACAGAACAGACAAUCAAAGGAUUGUGCUCUGAUGAAGUAACUGGCAUACAGCUGACAACAAGGUUCGUUUGAUUUGCUGAGUUUCAAGUCCCGUUCGUUCUCUUCUUCGUCAUCGUGAUCAUUAUCAUCAAAGAUUUGGUUGAAGGUGGGUGUUCCACCAGACUCUCAUUUUGUAGCGGACAUGUUUGGCAACCAACGCGGUAAUCGAGGAAGCAAUGAUCUUUAUUUGUGGAAUGAACAUCAUUGAGCCUGGUAGCUACACCAUCUAAUUAUAUUGUUUGAGUUAGUAUUCUGAUGGGUGUUUGCUUAAAUCACUUUGUGAAAGUAAAUAAGAAAGUUACGUGAGUAACAUUGUUUUCAUUGUGUUGGGAAUGCAAAUAGCUUCUUUAGUGAUGUGUAGUUUUCAUUGGAAAUUGUCCAGGGGAAAAGUAUGCCUUACUACUAGGUAGCAAGAUGGAUGGUACGUGCUGGUAACGGUCUAGGGACAUAAAAAAUAUAUUUUGUCUAUCUGUUAUAAUUUUGAUAGGAAUAAAGAGGGAAAGUCUCUGGUGCUGCUAUAAGAGAUUAUUUGCUAGAGAUAUCACGCGUCUGUCAAGUUUCUGACCCUGAGAGAAGUUAUCAUUGUUUUACAUGUUAUGUGUUGCACCACUUGAUGAGUGAAAAGUACAAAGUUUGAAGUUCAAGAAAGUUUCAUUACCUUAAUCAAUCAAACUUUUAUGAACUGAACAGAGUGGACGAGUCUAAAAAGUAUCUUGCUACAAAGAAAGCUAUGGAUGUUGUUGGAAUCAGCUCUGAUGAACAGGUGCUCAUAAAAUGGUCACAAACAGGUACUUCUGAGUUGGUGGAUCCUUUUAUUGUUUAAUUUAUAAAGAAAGUAUAUCUUUUAAAACACUCUGGUUGAAUUUGAAAGUUGAAUAAAACCUUACACAACCAUUAUAUUGUUACAGUUAAGAAAUAAUAGCUUAUGAUUAUGAACUUUUGGAUACCUGAUUUACUAUUACUUUUUAUCCAGAAUAUCUAUAGAUAUAUAAGAGUAUCCUUAAGUCAAAGUUUCAAAAUGUUAAUUUUUUUGUCUUCUUUUUCAAGAAUAUCGUAACUUUUUUAAUCCAUGCUUUCAAAACUGACAUUACUUGGUUGAAUUAUAACCUUUGGCUCCACAUGGUGUCCAUGUCACCUCCAAGUAGGAUUGCCAAAUGGCAUCUCGACACUAACUCUCAAACAAAAAUGUGAUGAUCCAAUCUAAACCUGUUUCACUGUUAUAACAUGAUGAUACUAACCCAUACAUUUGAUCACUUCUUCCUUCAUCUCCAUUUUACAUCACAAUCACCCUGUUUGUCUCCGUCUUCAAAUCUUCGAUCUCCAUCUCAAUGGUAUGUUUUACACCACCACGUCUCCAUCUUCUAAGGUCUGUUUUUUGGUUCAAACACUCAACCCACAAGAUUUGAAUUUGUUUGUUCUACGCCACCACAUUUGUGUUCGCUGAAAUGCUUUAAUGUGUCAACGAUGAUUUCUACUCAGGUUAUAUCUCGAUGUUUGGUAUAUGAAUAUCUACGAAAGCUGUGAUGAAUGAGUACAUUAAAUUUGCAUGAUAAGCUCAGAUGAUAAGCUCGCUCAGAGAUUAAGGAGUACGUGUGAGCCUAAAGUUGAUGCCGACUCAUUUCAUUGCAUAUUCAUGACAUCUCAGGUUGUAUCUUGAUGUUUGGUAUACGAAUAUCUAUGAAGGCUGUGAUGAAUGAGUACAUUAAAUUCGCAUGAUAAGCUCACCCAGAGAUUAAGGAAUAUGUGUGAGCCUAAACUUGAUGCAAGGUGGGUUGAAAUGUGAGCCUAAACUUGCAUAUUCAUGACAUCUCAGGUCAUGUUGUAUGUUGACAUGGAAGUACAUGGUGUUCCUUUGAAGGUAUGAUCAUAAAUACGAAGUGACACAUUCAUGCUUUAUUUUUGUUCAUGGGUAUUUUUUUGUAAUUCAACUUCUGUGUUCAACAUUUUUAUGCGCAUUUUUGAAAUUCGGACGUUUGUUGAUAGUGGAGCCUAGUCAACUAUAAUAUUAAAAUGUUGUGCUGGGCAUCUAGGGUAUGUGCCUUUUUUUCAUUUUUGAAGAGGCUACUCAUUCUGUGCACCAACAAGCACAUGUAGUUUCUAAUUUCGGCUGUCAAUCGUGUCAGGUUGGUGUGUGGGAAUAGGUGAAUCCGAACACGGCUCAAAGGCAUCAACCCUAACACAAACAUAUUUAAAAUUGUGUCGUGCGAGUGUUAUAUUUUAGGUUAACCCAUUUAAUGCUUAUAUGGCGGAGAAGCAAUCAAGUGAUAACUUUUUCCAUGUGGUGUCUAAUUCUCAUCAAUUUUUUGUUGUGGAAAGCUCAAAAUUGCAAGCACUACAACACACAUGGAAUGUUCUUUUAGUUAUGAUGUAAAAAAUUUUUAACGUUGUUAACAUUGAUUAAUCUACCUUAUUCUUCAUGCAUUUUUCAUUCAUUAA